rnacentral:rRNA from 1 species
AGAGUUUGAUUAUGGCUCAGAAUCAACGCUGGCGGCGUGCCUAACACAUGCAAGUCGAGCGAGAAAAGGGGAGCAAUCCUCUGAGUACAGCGGCGCACGGGUGAGUAACACGUGGGUAAUCUGCCCUAGAGUGGGGAAUAACACCGGGAAACCGGUGCUAAUACCGCAUACGAUCACGAGGUCUGCGGACUUUGUGAUGAAAGGAGCAAUUCGCUCCAGGAGGAGCCCGCGGCUGAUUAGCUAGUUGGUGAGGUAACGGCUCACCAAGGCAACGAUCAGUAUCCGGUCUGAGAGGACGGCCGGACACACUGGAACUGAGACACGGUCCAGACUCCUACGGGAGGCAGCAGUGGGGAAUUUUUGGCAAUGGGGGCAACCCUGACCAAGCAACGCCGCGUGGGUGAUGAAGUCUCUUGGGACGUAAAACCCUUUCGACGGGGAAGAAACCGCAAGGUUGACGGUACCCGUAGAAGAAGCCCCGGCUAACUCCGUGCCAGCAGCCGCGGUAAUACGGGGGGGGCAAGCGUUGUUCGGAAUUACUGGGCGUAAAGGGCGCGUAGGCGGUUCGCUAAGUUGGAUGUGAAAACUCUGGGCUCAACUCAGAGCCUGCAUCCAAAACUGGCGGGCUAGAGUUCUGGAGGGGGUAGCGGAAUUCCUGGUGUAGCGGUGAAAUGCGUAGAUAUCAGGAGGAACACCGGUGGCGAAGGCGGCUACCUGGACAGAAACUGACGCUGAGGCGCGAAAGCUAGGGGAGCAAACAGGAUUAGAUACCCUGGUAGUCCUAGCCCUAAACGAUGGAUACUUGGUGUGACGGGGAUUGAAUCCCGUCGUGCCGAAGCUAACGCAUUAAGUAUCCCGCCUGGGGAGUACGGUCGCAAGGCUGAACUCAAAGGAAUUGACGGGGCCCGCACAAGCGGUGGAGUAUGUGGUUUAAUUCGACGCA